UGAGCCAAGUUUAGGGUUUUCUCAAAACCCAUGCAGUAUUGAACUGAAGAGUUUGAUCAUGGCUCAGAUUGAACGCUGGCGGCAGGCCUAACACAUGCAAGUCGAGCGGAUGAAGAGAGCUUGCUCUCUGAUUCAGCGGCGGACGGGUGAGUAAUGCCUAGGAAUCUGCCUGA
rnacentral:rRNA from 1 species